CCUCCCAAAGUGCUGGGAUUACAGGCGUGAGCCACCGCGCCCGGCCCCUGACUUUUUAAUGAUCGCCAUUCUAACUGGCAUGAGAUGGUAUCUCAUUGGGGAACAUCUUAAAAGAAAAGCAUAUAAUUGCCAUUUGCACUUCCUCACCUCUUUAUCCACUCUUCAGCCUACUGCAAAUUGACUUUUGACCUCUUUAAUCUACUGAAAUGGCUCAUGCAAAGAGACUUUUUAUAAAAAUCACAUAUAAUUUAGAUUUUUUAUUUUCUGCAUAAAUCUCUUUAAUUUUAUGUGAUAAUACAGUGCAUGAUUAUUUGUUGAGCCGUUAAUUUUGUAUUAGCCAAAGAGAAAGUUGAACCUGUCAGUUAAACUGGGUGGAAUAAGAAAUAAUAUUUUAAAAUUAGCAGUAAAUAGAAACUUGCACAAUAAAAAUAUUUUUGUGUCACUUGAAAUAUUACCAUUGGUUGCAAGUUUUAAAGAUGUAAAAGGUGUCUUCUUUCACGUUCACUUUUUUUUUCAGUAGAGAUACUGACUGCAGGCAGCUUGCCUCUUUUGUUUUUUUGGCUUAUAGUCACAGUAUUUGAGCACAAAUUUAAUGAAGCAUUGUUUAAUUGAGACUUCCCUGUAGUGACACAACAAUAUUGCAAAUUUUUUUCAUAGGCAUUUCCUCACUUAAUUCUCAAACAAGUUUUGUCUUUUUUUUUUCAUCACGAUAUCUGUAGACAGGAUCAAACAACUUUUGAAGGGUAUUUGAUUUCCCCCUAUUUACAGAUUUAAGAAACUGAAACUCAAAAGAGACAAAUUGCCACAUUCAUCCUGCCACAGGGUGUGUGUGUGUGUGUGUGUGUGUGUGUGUGUGUGUGUGUGUGUGUGUGUGUUUUCUGACUCUAAACGUAGAGCAGUUUCUACUAUGCCCCAGCCACUUGGAUGUAGUAUGUGUACAAAAGUGACAACACGAUAUAGUGAUUCUUCAAAGUAGGUUUAUUGUUCUAAUUGACAUUUUUCUUCAAACAUUAUAGGAUUAUACAUUUCCAACAAUUUUAAGCAAUUUUGAUGCUUAUCAAAAUGUUGUAUAUUUAAUAAGUUUUUGCAUUAAAUGAGUUUAGGUUGGCAAUAAGGAACCACCAUAUACUUUAAUAGAUACUAUUUCAUACCACAGUUGUGUUGUCUUUAAUACAGAGAUGAGUGUUUAAUACUCUUUUGCAAUGGGAAGAAGUUAAAGGAGUUUGAGUUAAAAUAGUGAGAGAAAUAAUUGAAUAUGAUUGUUACCUUAAAUAUAGCCACAGUCUGUUGAUUUAAGCUUCAGUUAGUCCUAACAUAUUCAACAUAUUCAUAACAAAAUUUUUUGGGCAUCUCUGGCUCAUUUAUUAAUACCUAUGAACCUGCAAAACACUGCUGUAUUUGUAAGACUGAUAUGUAUGGGAUAAUGUAUGCGAUAAGCAAAAAUCUUAGUUUUCUAGCUAGCUUUUGAAAUGAAAGUAAUGGAAACAUGACUACUCAGAUUUAAAAAAACCAGGCUUUACCUUUCGUAGUUCAAUUUAUAUUAGUACAAAUUCUUCUCAAAGGUGGUCUCCUUGAGAAGGUGCACAGGCUACUGGAAAUAGUGAAGACAGUAAUAAGAAGAAGAUUAACUGGCUUACUUACCAAGAAAAUGAAUUCAGGAAAUUUGAUUCUCGUAGAGAUCUAGAACAAGCAAACAGGAUGAACAACCACUUAUUUUGGAAUAGUGUAUUUAAAUUUGAGAAAGAGUGAUCUUUUCUUUCUCCGAAGGGUUAAGAAUGUGAUCAAAAGCCUGGAGCUGAAAGAAGGAUAAUAUGUAUGGGAGACAGUGAGGACACUUGCCUGACCAGAGCAGGACCAGAAACCAGAAAUGCAAUUUGCCAAGCAUAUGAAGAAUAUGUUUUUACUGGUUUUUGAUAACUUAAAAUACUUCUUCAUCUAAAACCAGGCUGAUCUUGAGAAAGAUUUUAAAGGAGAUUAGAAAAUUCACUUUAACAAACCACUAUCAUAUAGUCACAUCAAUCUUUCGUAGAUAUUUUUGCAAACAAUUACCAGAAUUCUUAGAGUUUAUUACAGAUAUUUUGUUCUUGACCUUUGACACUUGCCAUUUAGCAAUUGCAUGGUUUUACUUUUGUGGUUGUAGAGUUUCUGUUUUUCUUUCAUUAGAAUGAUGUAAGUAGAGGAAUAGAAACUGUUAUAUUUGCAAAAAAAGAGCAAAGAUGCUUUGUGACCUUGGGAAUUAUAUUUGAAGGUUACUCACAAGAGAAUACCUUGUUUAGGAAAGAUGGUUAAUUUUUUUCUUGCAAGCAGACUUUUUUACAAAAUUAGUUAAUGGCAAAUGUGUUCUUUGCUGAAUAUUAAUCUAUAGUAUCAUUUAAGAUGUUCUUAAUUUAUGUUUCUGGACUUUGUUUAAAUGUCAAACUCUAGAAAGGGUAAACUAGCUCACCCCACUGCUAGGUAAUAGCUAGUAUUGUCUUCGCUGCAGGGCAUUUUACAGUAAAAUUUUGAAGUAUAUUGAAAAAAGUUACCAGUUCACUUACUAUACAAUAGCUUGGAAUGUGAAUGUCUGAAAGAAGAAAAAUUCAAUAAAUGACUAUGUAGUUAUUUGGUGGAAUUCACAACAUAAUAACAAGAAAAGGUUUUCAGCUUUGAUCAUAAUGGAAAUGAGUCAUUUAAUUUUACCCUCAGUCCUGGUACACAGUUUCAGCACCUGCUAAGAAGUCGGCUUGCAUUUAAAUGACUUAGGCAAUUAUUAAAAGCAAGUUUCAAGAAAUAAAUGGCAUUUAUAUAAAAAGGAGACUGGGCUCAAACUGCUAGUGCUUUAAAUUUCCAUAAAAGCAAAUUCAAGUUCAGAACAGGAUUCAGGAUUUAGUAACAAUUCAAAGGUUUUCAAUCCCUUAAUCUCUUUGUGAUAACUAUAUUCAUCAUGUAGCCAUUUUUAAAAGGAAGAGAAUAAAAAUGUUAACAUUGAUGUCUACCAGCACUUGUGACUGAAAAAUUGAUUAUAUAUGGUAAAUACUUAUGGCUCCAAAUAGCUAUUUGAUUUAUAAUUUUGGUAUUGAAAUGUAAUGAAAUACUUCUAUUGUAUUUGCAAUCGCUGGAAGAGUAGUAUGAAUCAUACUUCAAAUAAAAAUGCUUCUUUUUAUCAUUUUUCCCAAAUGUUUUGAGUGUAAGAAUGCUGUUUCCUUUUCUCUCAGGUCUACAUAUCUUUACUCAUCAUCUCAAAGGUGAUUAUUUUGUAACUUGACCUUAGUCUUGCAAAGGAGCUCUAUUUAGAGAUUUAAAUAUAGUAUUAACUUAGAAAAUAAAUUUCAACUAUUCAUACUGUUUUACCUAGAGUUAUUACAUUAUUAAGAGUAAAUAUCUUAUUAAACUCAAUAGGGAGCCACAAAAUAGAUAAGAUUUCUAAAGGAGGUAACUGAGUGUAUAUAAAAUAACUGAUGAAAAAUAAAAGUUAAGAAAAUGGGGCAGCUAAAUCAUCUGUCAACAGUAUUUAUAUUGAAAAGACAUUGUAAAUAUUAACUUCAGUUUUUCUAGCUUGCCAUAUGGAAUUGCUAUAAUUGGAAGACAAAACAAAAUGUGGGAAGUACCUGACAUUUCACUUAAAUUUAUUUAAACAAAGUUUGUAUAUGUUCUGAGCCACCUACUAUUUUUGAGGCACUAUUCUAAGUGCUUAUAUUUCUUAGCUCACUUAAUCUUCACAAUAUCAUGAGGUGGAAACUUUUGUUUUUGACCAUUUUACAGAUAAGGAAACUCAAACAAGUACAAUCUAGACCUCCAAAUGGACACGUGCUGCUUAGUAGCUAUGUGGCCUCUGUUCUGAGUCCUGUGACCAUUUCAGAGUUAUAGUUCAUAAUUCCUUCUCAUGUCCUGUAGUCCUGUCACCAAGUGCUAUAAUUUCAUCAUUUCCUUGGAUUGUUCUUUCUUGUUUUUGCCUGGGUUAUCUCCAUUUAUGCCUGAAUGACCAUAUAUCAUAGUCUCUUAGUUUAGUGAAUUUCAGGCAUCAGUCUGAGGACUUGAGUUGAUUUGUGAAGAAAUUUCAGCAUCUGCUCUCUUAACCUAGUGAUUGACUUCCGGGUUUCAAAAAAUGGUUCCUACACAACAGCUAUUAUUAUAGAUUGCUGUAGGAACUACUCUUUGCAGCCAUUUAUUAGCACUCGCAGGGCCACUUUCUAAUCUUCUGAAGGCUCUUUCUGCAUCCAUGCUCGUUCUCUCUAUUUUGCUCUCAUUAUACAGCUGCCAGAACCGUUAUUUUAGAAUGUGAUAUAGUUUGGUUCUUUGUCCCCAUCCAAAUCUUAUGUUGAAUUGUAAUCCCCAGUGCGGGAGGUGGGGUCUGGUGGGAGGUGUUUGGGUCCUGGGAGCAGACCCUUCAUGGCUUGGUGCUGUCUCCAUAACAGUGACUGAGUUCUUGCAAGAAAAAAUACUUCUGUAAGGACAUCUGCCCAGCAACUGCUGGUUCAACUGCCUGGGCUACUGUCACCCUUGUUAUUGAUCCUCGUAGCCAAAGAAAAUUAUCUCAAAACAAUUGUGUAAUCCCCUCAUUUUUCCUUUAAAAAAUUAUUUUAUCUCUGUCAGUAUACACAUAGUUUACUAUGACAUUCAUAUUCCCUUAGCAAUGUCCUAUUCCUGAAUGAAUAUAAUUUUAUUUUAGAGAGACUCUCUUGGUUUGUAGCAAUAAUUUUUCAAUAUAUGAGAUUUAUCUCGAUAUUGUAUGGUUAAUAGUGUUAGUUGCUGUUACUCUGUUCUAAAAAGUGAGGCUAAAUUGUAGCAAAAUGAUAUACCUUUUGUUUUGCAGAAAUCUCCCAAAGAAAAGCCAUAGUUCAGGUUAAAGCAGUUAAGCCUAUGGCAUUUCCUUUAGCAAAAUCGCAAUAAAAGAUAAACUAGGUAGUUAAAUAAUCCUAAGGGUUAGAUUACACGAGCAGUCCAACUUGUUUCAAGUAAGCAUUGAAUACAUUCUUAUUGAGUAAAUAAUCUGUUUCCCAUUUGUAACUUUCUUCAGACUUACCCUCUAUAAUGACUCUUCAGUGAACAACUUUUUGCUAGAAUGACUCUGGCAAAAUGCUAAUAUUUUGGACAAUGACUUGAAAAAUUGUCUAACAACCUUUCCACCAAAAAACAUAAUAUAAAAAUGGGCAUUUCAACAUUGUGAUUUCAGGCAAUGACACAUUUGACAAUUUACUUGACAUAACAAUUUUUAGUCAGAUCCAAAUAUAUGCAUCGCAUUUGAAUUGCCUUCCAUGUAUGGAUGAAUCCAAAGCAUUUUGCUCUCUGUACAUACCCUAAAGUACUUCUGCCUGCUAUUCUCUUCAUCUCUAAGCAAGAGAUGAAGAUGCAGUAUCUUCUGGGAGUCUUCUGUCUGUUAUGCCUCUAUAUACUUAAUCUGUAUUUUACCCAAAGGUGUUUUUCUGGGAUAAUUUUACUUUAAGUGCAAAAUAAUCAUGAGCCCCCCAAGUUUGAAAUAUUAGUGAAAAAAAUGUUUCAGAAAUAAGGAAAAUAAAGGAAGUACAACAUUGCCAUUUAUAUAUAAGCUGU
rnacentral:lncRNA from 10 species